rnacentral:piRNA from 1 species
UGGGAGACUCUUGGCUAACAC